AUUGAACGCUGGCGGCAUGCUUUACACAUGCAAGUCGAACGGCAGCGCGGGCUUCGGCCUGGCGGCGAGUGGCGAACGGGUGAGUAAUGCAUCGGAACGUGCCCAGUAGUGGGGGAUAGCCCGGCGAAAGCCGGAUUAAUACCGCAUACGACCUGAGGGUGAAAGCGGGGGACCGAAAGGCCUCGCGCUAUUGGAGCGGCCGAUGUCGGAUUAGCUAGUUGGUGGGGUAAAGGCUUACCAAGGCGACGAUCCGUAGCUGGUCUGAGAGGACGACCAGCCACACUGGGACUGAGACACGGCCCAGACUCCUACGGGAAGCAGCAGUGGGGAAUUUUGGACAAUGGGGGCAACCCUGAUCCAGCCAUGCCGCGUGCGGGAAGAAGGCCUUCGGGUUGUAAACCGCUUUUGUUCGGGAAGAAAUCCUCUGGGCUAAUACCCCGGGGGGAUGACGGUACCGGAAGAAUAAGCACCGGCUAACUACGUG
rnacentral:rRNA from 1 species